GGUCCGUUGAGGAUCAACGACGGACAGGUGCUCAAUGUUGUGACGUUAUCGUGUUGAUUCGAAGCAAAGAGCCAAGGUGAUAACGCCGUGACGAUGCGAGUGAACUUGUAGAUUUGGUCUUGAAGGAUCAAUGCGUUUCUGGAAAUUGCCGUGGAGGAAUUGAACUCGCAGGUAUUGCGAAGGUAACGUUGACACGGAGAUGAGAUUAAAGAUUCAAUCGGAACCGAAUUCCUUCAUGUUACUGUUAAGAUCUUCUUCUCUUGAAAUUCUGCCGUGAGCUUUAUCCUGCAAUUUUCUGUUUCUUGAAUUUGUUGCAGGUUGGUGUAUGGUGAUGAAGGUGACGAAGGUUCGAUGAUUUUUGCAGUGGAUUCGGUUUUCUGUUAUGUAUCGUGAGAGAGAAAUUGAAGAUGAUGAUUGGAGGUAGAAGUGGAAGGUUCUGGUGGAGAGUUGAAGAUGAAUGAAGAGAAAAAAGGGUGGUUGAUGCGUGAAGAUUAGGGAGGUUCAGAGAUGAAGAGAGAGUGGUGAGAAGUGGUGGAUCUGAAUUCAGAGAGUGAGAAAAUGAGAGAUGAAGAUGGUGGUGGAAGAUUGAAAAAAUGGAGGAGAAGCUGAAUGAUGAUGAUGAGUCCAGUUAUAUAGGGUGCAGCAAGUGAUUGAAAUGGAGUUGAAGUGGAAUCCUUCGAAUACUUCAAUGAAGUUCCUCUUCUUUCUCGAGAUUCAAAUAUGUCUUUACUUUCUUCAAAGUGUUGGUACUUUUAAUGACUUGUAA